rnacentral:rRNA from 1 species
CCUACGGGUGGCAGCAGUGGGGGAUAUUGCACAAUGGGGGAAACCCUGAUGCAGCGAUGCCGCGUGAAUGAAGAAGGCCUUCGGGUUGUAAAGUUCUGUCGCAGGGGACGAAAAUGACGGUACCCUGCAAGAAAACCCCGGCAAACUACGGGCCAGCAGCCGCGGUAAAACGUAGGGGGCAAGGGUUGUCCGGAAUUACCGGGGGAAAAGGGAGCGUAGGCGGGAGGAUAAGUUGAAUGUGAAAUCUAUGGGCUCAACCCAUAGCUGCGUUCAAAACUGUUCUUCUUGAGUAAAGUAGAGGCAGGCGGAAUUCCUAGUGUAGCGGUGAAAUGCGUAGAUAUUAGGAGGAACACCAGUGGCGAAGGCGUCCUGCUGGGCUUUUACUGACGCUGAGGCUCGAAAGCGUGGGGAGCAAACAGGAUUAGAUACCCGUGUAGUC